rnacentral:rRNA from 1 species
UACGGAGGAUGCAAGCGUUAUCCGGAAUUAUUGGGCGUAAAGCGUCCGCAGGUGGCAAUGUAAGUCUGCUGUUAAAGAGUCUAGCUCAACUAGAUAAAAGCAGUGGAAACUACAUAGCUAGAGUACGUUCGGGGCAGAGGGAAUUCCUGGUGUAGCGGUGAAAUGCGUAGAGAUCAGGAAGAACACCAGUGGCGAAGGCGCUCUGCUAGGCCGUAACUGACACUGAGGGACGAAAGCCAGGGGAGCGAACGGG